rnacentral:rRNA from 1 species
AGUGAACGCUGGCGGUAGGCCUAACACAUGCAAGUCGAACGGCAGCACAGUAAGAGCUUGCUCUUACGGGUGGCGAGUGGCGGACGGGUGAGGAAUACAUCGGAAUCUACUUUUUCGUGGGGGAUCACGUAGGGAAACUUACGCUAAUACAGCAUACGACCUACGGGUGAAAGCAGGGGAUCUUCGGACCUUGCGCGAUUGAAUGAGCCGAUGUCGGAUUAGCUAGUUGGCGGGGUAAAGGCCCACCAAGGCGACGAUACGUAGCUGGUCUGAGAGGAUGGUCAGCCACACGGGAACGGAGACACGGUCCAGACUCCUACGGGAGGCAGCAGUGGGGAAUAUUGGACAAUGGGCGCAAGCCUGAUCCAGCCAGACCGCGUGGGUGAAGAAGGCCUUCGGGUUGUAAAGCCCUUUUGUUGGGAAAGAAAAGCAUCAGGUUAAUACCCCGCUGUUCUGACGGUACCCAAAGAAUAAGCACCGGCUAACUUCGUG